rnacentral:rRNA from 1 species
UACGUAGGGUGCGAGCGUUGUCCGGAAUUAUUGGGCGUAAAGGGCUCGUAGGCGGUUUGUCACGUCGGGAGUGAAAACUCAGGGCUUAACCCUGAGCCUGCUUCCGAUACGGGCAGACUAGAGGUAUGCAGGGGAGAACGGAAUUCCUGGUGUAGCGGUGAAAUGCGCAGAUAUCAGGAGGAACACCGGUGGCGAAGGCGGUUCUCUGGGCCGAUACUGACGCUGAGGAGCGAAAGCGUGGGGAGCGAACAGG